rnacentral:rRNA from 1 species
UACGGGGGGGGCAAGCGUUGUUCGGAAUUACUGGGCGUAAAGGGCGCGUAGGCGGUCAGCACAAGUCAGUUGUGAAAUCUCCGAGCUUAACUCGGAAAGGUCAACUGAUACUGUGCGACUAGAGUGCAGAAGGGGCAACUGGAAUUCUCGGUGUAGCGGUGAAAUGCGUAGAUAUCGAGAGGAACACCUGCGGCGAAGGUGGGUUGCUGGGCUGACACUGACGCUGAGGCGCGAAAGCUAGGGGAGCGAACGGG